AUAUCCAAACCAAAUCGGCCUAGCAUUAGCAGGUCCAUUAAAUAGACCAGGCCCAAUCGGCCUAGUGACCCCAUCAUUAGCAGUCCUAGGCGCAUUGUACAUCUUAUGCCCAACGCCGUAUUGAAACUUUAACCCAGCAUAGGGCCCACCGUAAGUUCCGUCAGUACCCUGUAAAAUAGGUUUAGAAACCCUAUUAUGUCGAGACAAAGAGGGCGCAACAAACGGCCAAAAAUUUCCUCCCACAAAAGUAUCCUGCAGCUCCGCCGAGGCAGAACCAUGAAGCAUACCAGAGACCGACGACGAAAACGACACACCAGGACCAUGACAAGGGGCCAGAUUCGACGGUUGAACAACCAACGAUGGGCGUUGAUACUCACGGUUAUAACAAAAAAACACCUCUGGGCUAAAUGCCCGAACUGUCCGCAGAUCUGACACUGUAUGCGGGAUCGAAACCUUUUCAUGCGGCCUCCAGACGAGGGACGAUCACCACGAAUAGAGCCCACCAAAGCCAACGACGGAACGAUUUCCAAAAUAUUGGCAUAAAGAGGCAUGUCUUAUACCGUAUGCACCUGGCGACUCUCAUUCUCGAGUAACACGUCGAUGAGACAUUGAAGCAGCAGAGGCUCCGACGAGAACGACGCUAAGGUAAGUACGGCAUCGAACUCUGGAGUAAGCCCGCAAGCAUUAUUUCUACCUUAUUUGCCUCUGAGAUCUAAGAUCCGGAAGCCUCUUUUGAUGCACUUGUGUUUUGAAUCUUCGCUAUAUACUCUUUGACUGAGAGGCUCCAUUUUUUAAUUAAGUGAAGAUCAUGACGAAGACGAGAAAGCUUCGUACUUGUAACGACAACAAAGAGAUGAGUAGCGGUGUUCCACACAUCACACGCCGUUCGAGCCUCUAUAAAAGAAGAUAGAAGCGAGGGAUUAACUGUGGAAAGUAACUAGGAAACAAGUAACCUGUCUUGUUGAACAAACGCUGAAGCAUCUGGAUUCGGAACGAGCGAGCCCUCCGGAGACUGCACAAAGCGCAGUGGAGCAAGUAACGUUCCAUCCAAAAAACCAGUUAGCUCGUAUCCUUCGACAUCAACCAAACAUGCUGCUGCCAUAGAACGAAAGUGCCGUCAUCCAACUUGACAGUCUCAUGGCGAGGAAACGAGUGAACGAGCCUAGCACUAGUGAACAUCGGAUAUCCAUGUUCGACGGAGGUAGAAUCAGCAGAAGCUAUGGUGGUCAUGGAAACAAACUAAGAGCAGGUCUCCAGCACCUUAGGCGACUGAUACCAUGUUAACAC
rnacentral:lncRNA from 1 species